GCUCUAUAACCCUUUGUGAACUACCUAUAACUGUUGCUUCGGCGGGUAGGGUCUCCGCGACCCUCCCGGCCUCCCGCCUCCGGGCGGGUCGGCGCCCGCCGGAGGAUAACCAAACUCUGAUUUAACGACGUUUCUUCUGAGUGGUACAAGCAAAUAAUCAAAACUUUUAACAACGGAUCUCUUGGUUCUGGCAUCGAUGAAGAACGCAGCGAAAUGCGAUAAGUAAUGUGAAUUGCAGAAUUCAGUGAAUCAUCGAAUCUUUGAACGCACAUUGCGCCCGCCAGCAUUCUGGCGGGCAUGCCUGUUCGAGCGUCAUUUCAACCCUCAAGCUCUGCUUGGUGUUGGGGCCCUACAGCUGAUGUAGGCCCUCAAAGGUAGUGGCGGACCCUCCCGGAGCCUCCUUUGCGUAGUAACUUUACGUCUCGCACUGGGAUCCGGAGGGACUCUUGCCGUAAAACCCCCCAAUUUUCCAAAGGUUGACCUCGGAUCAGGUAGGAAUACCCGCUGAACUUAAGCAUAUCAAUAAGCGGAGGAAAAGAAACCAACAGGGAUUGCCUCAGUAACGGCGAGUGAAGCGGCAACAGCUCAAAUUUGAAAUCUGGCCCUAGGCCCGAGUUGUAAUUUGCAGAGGAUGCUUUUGGUGCGGUGCCUUCCAAGUUCCCUAGAACGGGACGCCAGAGAGGGUGAGAGCCCCGUACAGUUGGACACCAAGCCUUUGUAAAGCUCCUUCGACGAGUCGAGUAGUUUGGGAAUGCUGCUCAAAAUGGGAGGUAUAUUUCUUCUAAAGCUAAAUACCGGCCAGAGACCGAUAGCGCACAAGUAGAGUGAUCGAAAGAUGAAAAGCACUUUGAAAAGAGGGUUAAACAGCACGUGAAAUUGUUAAAAGGGAAGCGCUUGUGACCAGACUUGCGUCCGGUGAAUCACCCAGCUCUCGCGGCUGGGGCACUUCGCCGGCUCAGGCCAGCAUCAGCUCGCUGUCGGGGACAAAAGCUUCAGGAACGUAGCUCUCUUCGGGGAGUGUUAUAGCCUGUUGCACAAUACCCUUCGGCGGGCUGAGGUACGC
rnacentral:rRNA from 1 species